rnacentral:rRNA from 1 species
UACGUAGGUGGCAAGCGUUGUCCGGAUUUAUUGGGUUUAAAGGGUGCGUAGGCGGCUUAUUAAGUCAGUGGUGAAAUACUCUAGCUCAACUAGAGGGGUGCCAUUGAUACUGAUGAGCUUGAGUACAGAUGAGGUAGGCGGAAUUGACGGUGUAGCGGUGAAAUGCUUAGAUAUCGUCAAGAACACCUAUAGCGAAGGCAGCUUACUAGGCCGAUACUGACGCUGAGGAGCGAAAGCGUGGGGAGCGAACAGG